ACUGACUAUCAUCAGAUCUGCAGAAUCCUAAGGCCCAAGUGGCAGACCAUAAACAGAAUGAACUUGCUUCAGAGCCUUCUUUUACGCUAGUCUCUACUAAGCACUGAUGAAUAACUGAACAACUUAUGGUACAUUAACACAAGGAAACACAAGUCAGCAAUAACAAUGAAUGAACUACUGAUACACAGAAUUGCAGCAAUGAAUCUCACAAACAUUCUUGGACAAAACAGCCUGAAAAAAAUGGAGAGAAGACUCGGGCCUGGUUUGCAGAUGGUUCUGCAUGAUAUACAGGCAUCACCUGAGAGUGGACAGCUGCAGCACUACAGCCCCUGUUGGGAACAUUCCUGCAAGACAAUGGUGAAGGGAAAUCCUUCUUGUGAGCAGAAAUUUGAUCAGUGACCCUGGUUAUUCACUUCGUUUGGCAAGAGAAAUGGCCAGACAUAUGAGUAAAUACUGAUUAGUGGGUCAUGAUCAAUGGUGUGCCUGGGUGGUCAGGGGCUUGGAAGAAAUAUGAUUAAAAAGUUAGUAACAAGGAACUCCGAAUGGACAAAAAAACAUGAAGAUAUUUAUAUGCCAUGUGCAAGUUCACCAAAGUGUGACCUCAGCAAAGGAGAAUUUUAGUAUCAAUUUGAUGAAAUAACCUGUUGUGUGGAUAUUAGGCUUUUUUCCUCAGUAACUUUGCUAUGGGUCAAUGGGCUCAUGAAUAAAAUAGCCUUGGUGGCCGGCAUGGAGAUUAUGCAUGGGCUCAGCAAUAUGAACUUCUACUCAAACUGGCUGACCUGGCUAUGACCACUGCUGAGUGCCCAAUCUACUAGCAGCACAGACCAACCUUGAGUCUCCAGUCUGACACCAUUUCCCAGGGAGAUCAGCCAGCUGUAUAUUGACAGGUUGAUUUCACUGGACUUCUACUAUCAUGGAAAGGGCAUGAAAGGGCAUGAUACCUUACUGAGAUAGAUAUUUAGUCUGGAUUUAGAUUUACCUUUCCUGCACAGUGUUUCUGCCCAAACCACCAUCCAUGGGACUUACAUAAUGCCUUGUCCACCAACAUUUUUUAUUCCAAGCAGCAUUGCUUCUAUCAAGGAACUCACUCCAAAGCAAAGGAAGCGUGGCAAUGAAUUCAUGCUCACGAAAUUCACCAGUCUUACUGUGUUCCCUACCAUCCUGAAGCUGAUGACCUGAUAGAGGGCUACAAUGGUCUUUUGAAGUCUGAGUUACAGUGUCAAGUGGCAAUACCUUGCAGAACUGGCAUAAGGUUCUUCAGAAGGCUGCAGAUGCUCUAAAUCAGUGUCCAAUAUAUGCCCUGAAUCAGC
rnacentral:lncRNA from 1 species